AAGUGAUAUGAUGGUAUACCAUCUUUCGGGACUGACCUGAAAUGGAGAGAAGAACUCUUAAUACUGAUCACUU
rnacentral:snoRNA from 1 species